rnacentral:rRNA from 1 species
GACGAACGCUGGCGGCGUGCUUAACACAUGCAAGUCGAACGAUGAAGCCGGAGCUUGCCCUGGUGAAUUAGUGGCGAACGGGUGAGUAACACGUGAGUAACCUGCCCUUGACUCUGGGAUAACUGCUAGAAAUGGUAGCUAAUACCGGAUACGACCCUCGGAGGCAUCUCCAGGGGGUGGAAAGAAUUUCGGUCAAGGAUGGACUCGCGGCCUAUCAGCUAGGUGGUGAGGUAACGGCUCACCAAGGCGACGACGGGUAGCCGGCCUGAGAGGGUGACCGGCCACACUGGGACUGAGACACGGCCCAGACUCCUACGGGAGGCAGCAGUGGGGAAUAUUGCACAAUGGGAGCAAGCCUGAUGCAGCAACGCCGCGUGAGGGAUGACGGCCUUCGGGUUGUAAACCUCUUUUAGUAGGGAAGAAGCGAAAGUGACGGUACCUGCAGAAAAAGCACCGGCUAACUACGUGCCAGCAGCCGCCGUAAGAC